AGUGAACGCUGGCGGUAGGCCUAACACAUGCAAGUCGAACGGCAGCACAGUAAGAGCUUGCUCUUACGGGUGGCGAGUGGCGGACGGGUGAGGAAUACAUCGGAAUCUACUUUUUCGUGGGGGAUAACGUAGGGAAGCUUACGCUAAUACCGCAUACGACCUACGGGUGAAAGCAGGGGAUCUUCGGACCUUGCGCGAUUGAAUGAGCCGAUGUCGGAUUAGCUAGUUGGCGGGGUAAAGGCCCACCAAGGCGACGAUCCGUAGCUGGUCUGAGAGGAUGAUCAGCCACACUGGAACUGAGACACGGUCCAGACUCCUACGGGAGGCAGCAGUGGGGAAUAUUGGACAAUGGGCGCAAGCCUGAUCCAGCCAUACCGCAUGGGUGAAGAAGGCCUUCGGGUUGUAAAGCCCUUUUGUUGGGAAAGAAAAGCAGCAGGUUAAUACCCCGCUGUUCUGACGGUACCCAAAGAAUAAGCACCGGCUAACUUCGUG
rnacentral:rRNA from 1 species